GCUGGACCUGAGCUACAACCAUCCAGGAGACCUAGGGGUAAAGCUACUGACUGCUGGACUAAAGGAUCCACAGUGGAGACUGGACAGUCUCAGCCUGGAGCAUAGUGGAGCGCAAAGGCUGAAACCUGGUCUGAAAAAGUGUAAGCAUGUUUUUAUUCUGCAUCAUUACAAACUAGUCACAUUUCUGCUAAAUGUCUCUCAAUACAUUGGUGAAAAACUCAGCGGUAAACAUGUGAACAUGUGACAUCAGCUGCUCAUGUCAUAGUAUCUGUCACUUGUGACAACACAGUGGUAGCUGUGACCAGGAGAUAUUUUUUUGUAUUCUUAUGAUCACAGUUAUAAUCAGAAGUAUCAAUCAUUAAUCAUUUACCAUUGUUGAACCAGUUGACAGAAUAAUCUUUGAACCAUAUCUAUGUUAACAUUAAUCUACACAGAUUAUCAGUACUUUAAUCAGUCUAUUGUUGUUCUGUACUAUUCAUGUUAUUUGCUUAAAGCUGUUUCACAGUUCUGUAAUCACUCAGAAGCCUGUGGGGCCUGCUGGACCCUGCCUUGGUUCUAUGUUCAGUUCUGCACGUACACAGGCCUUUAGUAAGAAUAGGAGGGUCGUCUGAGGACAGAUAUACUUUCACAAAAGGCACGAAUGUAAUACACACUUGUUUUCUCUAACAACUAACAGUUGAUGUCCAUAUUAGGUAAACUCUCUGAACAGGCCCAAAACUGUUAUCAUUUCCAGUAAGGUCUGACUGUGUUACGUCAUCAUGGGAUCAUGGGUUAUAUAAGGAUGGGGAGCGGUCCACUCUUUGGAGAUCUGUGGCUGUACGCUUGUCUUCCCAUGCUUCUGUCUUAGAAGUGUGCAAUAAAAUCACUAUGUUUGUCACCUA